ACCUGGGUGGCUCAGUCAGUUAAGCAUCUGACUUCAGCUCAGGUCACGAUCUCACAGUUCGUGGGUUUGAGCCCCACAUCGGGCU
rnacentral:tRNA from 1 species